GCCAGCGACUACACCACGUGGUAACCUCUGGUUCCCGUCACACCGUCGAGGUUGUGCUCCGUCGGGCUGGGUUAGUACAUACAAAGGUGACGGGUGAGGAAUGCUCGGGGUCGCUGGCC
rfam:Echinococcus granulosus EG_S00278, whole genome shotgun sequence.